CAGCCAGAGUUGAACCUACAGCUUCAGCCAGAGUUGAACCUGAUGACUUCGUCAUCUGAGUAAAAACUCGCACAUCGUCAUUGGCUGUCCUUCUGUCUUAGACUUUACCACCAUUGAACCUUCAAAUGAUCAGGCUCCUCGCUUACCCAACCUCAGAUAAGCAGGAUAUAUGGCAGAGGAAGUGGAAGCUCAGUCUGGGUGAGUAAAUAUUUGUCAUUUGGGAACUGAACCCAUUUUCUCUGUAUGUUAUGUUAUCUUUGAUACAAAAAUUCACCUAAUGAAUGGUUUUCAAGGAAACUAACCUGUUUGUAAAGUGAGGGUUACCUGUAUAUGUACCUAACAGAGUUGAGAAAGUGGUGUGUAUGGUGCAGUGGGGUGAGGCUGGCAGUACAAGUACACAACACUGAUUAUAGGCAGUACUGUAUGAGGUACAGGACACUUGUUUUCUUAAGUUAGUUUACUAUUUACAAUUAUUAUUGCCUCUAGUAAUUGAUCACAAAUCUACACUUGUGCUUGGGGGAUGGAGGUGUAGAAAUGCAUGGUGGCGUGGGGGUCAAAGGGUGAGAUCACAAAUAUUGAAACGCUACUGAGAAGGCGAGUGAGUGAAAGAUAAAUGCCUGCAUGGAGAUUCAAACUGUACCACAAAAUUACAAUAUGUCAUAUGACUCGAACCAGAGCCAUGUAAGCACAAGUCAUGAUGUGAACCAAACUCUGGGGUUAAGCCUAGGUCUUUAAUUAGCAUAUAACAAUGGCAACGUGCAUAGCCAUCUCACAAGCCACAACUGAUUGGCAACACUUCUUUUGGAUUGGAUGAAAUGAAAACAAAUAACAUUAAUAGACAACAAUAUUUAAACACUAUCCAAUAAAUAAUAAAUAUGUACAGUAUAUGGAAGAGCACAUACCUUUAACAAUCUUGAUAUCGAAGUGAAGAAGUUGCAGUAAUGAUCUACAUGUCCACAGUACAAGCAUCCCUUGCUUUACAAAACCUUUACCGUACCCUCUUGAUCUGCACAUGGUCAUCAGUUGAGAUAUACAAGUACAGUAUGCGAUACACUCGAGGUAAUAUUGUCUUUGAAUUUUAUGAUACCAGUAACCCUUGAGAGAUCAAUGCAUCAGUUCUGGUGUAGUUAAAAAUAUUGUUUCACACUCCACCUUGGUAGUGUUGUAGUCCUUAUGCUUGAUUGAGACUUGAAAGACUGGAUUCAUUGGUAGUAGUAAAGAGUAAGUGAAAAUACAGAUGCUUGAUAUGAAUAGAAGAUAAGAAGGAAGUUUGAUUGAAUUUUGUCCAGUAAUGACAAGGACUCCUAUUCACACAAAAUAGUAUUUUAAGUGGUGGAUAUUUGGGGCAUUGUUAUGGAAGGAUCAUCAUAUGAGAACACAUUUAAUACAGCAAUAAGAAUGAAGGGGGAAUGUGAGUGUAUAUUUAUUCUUGAUUCUCAUCACCUUGCAUUAUAGCAAAAAAAGUAUGAAAGAAUUAGAGAAUAAAAUAUAAAGGCACACUGAGCUGCUGUAAAACAGUUAGCCAUACAAGUUAUAAGAAAUUUCAUGUUUAAAAUGAAUACACUAAAACACCUUUAUAUAUAUAUAUGUUUAGUACAAUUUUAUUAAAUCAUGAUCAACUUAAUGUUGAUGUAACAAGAAGAUAACUGCACCUACAGACAGCACCUGCUCACUACUGCACCUAACUUGUAUCACCAUCUAACAGGUGGUGAAUAGAGACUCGAGUCUGGGAUCAAGUACAAAAUUCUCACUUCUAAUAUACAUAAUAAAAUUACAAAUGUACAAUUUUAUAUUCUCCCAUGCACUCAAACAGUAUCACUCAUAAGACAAGGGCAAUGCAGUUCUCAACAAUAAACAUGUCAACAGAAUAAUUUAAGUUUUCCAUAUAGAGAUGCUAAGAAAAAGCCUCCACUCACUUGGGUCCAUAGCAGCUUAUAGACUUCUUUUAAUGAGAAAUAAGAUAAUAGUAAUAAAAUUAUUAAUGUC